GCGGCCGCCAUGCCCGGGGUGUCCCAGCUCCCUCUGCCGCCUGCGCUCGGCCGCCAGCAGGCCAUGGCGCAGUCGCUGUCCCAGUGCAGCCUGGCGGCGGGGCCACCGCCCAACUCCAUGGGUUUGUCCAACAGCCUGGCGGGCUCCAACGGAGCGGGGCUGCAGUCGCACCUCUACCAGCCCGCCUUCCCCGGCAUGGUGCCCGCUUCCCUCCCCGGCCCCAGCAACGUCUCCGGCUCGCCCCAGCUCUGCAGCUCUCCGGACAGCAGCGACGUGUGGCGGGGCACGAGCAUCGCCUCCCU
rnacentral:lncRNA from 1 species